UCUUUUUUUUUUUUUGAAUCAAACUUAAAUCAUUUCUCCUAAUUUAAAAAUCAAACCUUUACUUUUUCUUCUCAUCGUCAUCAUCGUCAGCUGCGUCAACAUCGGCAUUUUGUCACUAACACCAUCGUUUCUUCCCAGGUAAAAAUAUGAAAAAAAAAGGAAAUUUGGAGCUUUUGAACUUAUUUUGGAUGUAUUUUGGUGCAAAAAGCUAUGGAAGGCCGAAAUUAGCAUAAAUUUCACAAUCAAUAAUUCAGAUUUACCAGAUGGAGUUAAAUUUGGAAAAAUUACAAGGAAUUGCUAGCAUAUGACUUCCUGACAGAGGAGGUUUACGUGUAACAGUUUGGAAGGUAAAGGUAACUACCGACAAAUUUUCACUCUUAUGGUUUCUGCUACUCUAUUGCUUGGGCUUAAGAAUGCAGCCUAUUCUACAAUGGUUAACUGGAAUCCUUCCUUGUACUUAUCUACUAUUUAGAGGAAACCAUUUUCCUUGGAUAUUUCAUCAAACUUGGGAAGCAUUUUCUCUCUGGUUCCAUUUGUUAUUGUGGUUGUUUUGUGCAACAUUUUGGCUAUUAUUGUAACAUUACCUCUUAAACAACUUUUCUUAUUUCACAUUCUACUCAUAAAAAAGGUAAGCUUGCCAAAAGUUUUCUACCACGUGAAAGUUAUUUUUGUUUUAGUACUCUAUAGUGGGUGAAGGCUUCAUAAUUCUUUUUGUCUUAUCUUGCACAAGUCAAAUCCUAAUGAGUAUUUAAAGUUAAAGAAAGAAAGAAAAAAGCUAAUGAGCUAAUUAGGUCAUUCUUGCAUAUGCCUUAGGGAAUCAACACAUAUGAAUACUUAAUAGUUUUACAUAAGCAUUAGCAAGAGCAACGAGGAAUUGUUGGUUAGCAAAGUCCACAAAUGUCCCAUGUUUCCUUGUACUAAUCUUUAUAUUGAAUCUAGUCAGCACUUGCAAGGAUUAAGGACGAAGCAUUGCACUUUAAUGAGCAUAAUAAUGCUGAUAGUGAUACUGAUGAACUGUUGACAUGGCAUGACAUUUCUCAUUAGGAGUCCAAUUGAAAAGGUAUGUUUUUAAUACUUCUUAGAUAACUUAUAUGGGUUAAUUGGUUGAUAUCUUACAUGAGGAUCUUAUAUAUGAUAAAUUAACAUGAGGAUCUUAUUAUAGUGUCAGAUAUGACAAACAAAAUCCUAUGAUUCAUCCUUUUUUCUUUUGUUGAUUGGUUGCUAAUCCUAUUAUAAAACUUUGUUAAGAUUAUGGCCUCUGGUGCAAGGUUGUGUUUCAUAUUUGUUAGUGUAGUCUUGUGUUUUAUUUUUGUAAAGACACAUUUAGGUUAAAUAUAUAUAGGUGUAGCAUGUCAACUUUUAUCACUUAUUUAGUGAUAUUAGUUAUUGAACUUUGUCAUAAUAUUCAAGUUCGAGAACCUGUUUAUUAGAUAUAAAAAAAAUGUAGAGUUGCUACCAAUCUUUUUUAUCUAGAUGUGAUUAGUUACCUAUGUAAAUCUAACCCUUUUAAAGUUAUUCUAAGUUUAAGCUAAGGGUCUUUUUAAAAAAAUAGGUUAUGGUUUACAUCAAUAAAAUUAAGUUCGGGAGUCAGUUACGUGCAACAAAAGUUUUAGCACCCUAUUACACCCAAAAUUGAUACCAAAUUAAUCUUAUGUUAUUUUAUUUAAGUUUUAA